ensembl:lncRNA
GGACCUCAUUUUUCUUUUUUUAUUUGCAUUAUCAUACAUUAGGUACAAAUGACACAAUCAAUUACAAGGUAAGUAGCUCAGACUCAUUUUAAAGGUUUCAGGCUGACAAGGGAAAAAAAAUAACAAACAUACACCAUUUGCAAAAUACAAUAUGUUCUUUCUUUUACAGUCUAUGUAGAUAUCUAAUUUAAGUCAUUUAUGUACAGGACAGGGGUGCAGAGAUUAUAACUGAACAGAGGAAAGUGGGAGAACUGGUUACACUGUGGAUUAAGAUAUAAGGCAUUCUUGCACAUGAUCUUAUGCUCUGAUUGGCCAAGAGGAUAGUUUACUUAAAACUCUCUUAAUUCAAAUCGAGCAGGAAACAGCAGAGUGAUGACUAACUACAAAGAAGACGUCAUACCAGAUUCAUCCACAGAAAAGGACUGACAGAAGUACUAAUUAAAAUCUAUAAAUUAAAAUAAAAUCUUGAAACAGCUGUAUGACCAUAGCUUUAAACCUAACCCUAACUAAAUUUAAAAAAGUUGAGGACAUGUAAAAAAUGUAAAAGAACAAAUACUUUUGGCUAAUUUCUUUCCUGCGGUGCAUUAGUCAAACCCAGAGAGAACUGAAAAGUCUUGGGCUGAUGUCGUGUCUGUUGAGUGAAUUGCGUGAACUAGAAACUAGAGACCAACUUGUGAUGGGAUCAAACCAGCUGCAGCACCAAGGAGUUGUAGGACUAGCCCCAUAGAGGAAAGUAGUGAGUUUAUACACCAAAUAUGACUCUUCGUAUGGUGAUUUACAAAUACAUAUACAAUACAAAAGACUGAUAGGGGCGUGAUAACAGACAGGGCCACUGGGCCUCUUGCCCCCCUACUUCUAAUCUUUUUUUGGGAACUUAUGGUUUAGACCACAACUGCGUUUGAUCCCAACUACACACCUGUAAAGUUGUGAUGUUACUGUGUUCACCUGCUUUUGUGGCAGUUCCCACUAGAGUAGGUGUCCCCAGGACCACAUUUAGUCUUGAUGACACGUGCAGACUCACAAAGUGAGACAAUAACCACUACCCUAGGAUCUAAAAGGUGGGGGACACUAUCAAUGAGGAAUGGAUUUACAUGGCCCAGGCACUGAGGAAGGAACUACAGAUUGAUUCAGAGAGGACAAAGGAGGGACGGUUCAAUAUGAUGAGGCACGGGGGUUGUUCUUCAAAACGAGCAAUUAUCAUCUCUCCUGUCAUUCAUUUCGGCUUAACCCAAUUCAUCACCUGUUCAUUCUUCACUCAUCCAUCAACAAGCGUAAUCUUUUGAUAUUUUUGAAACAGAAUAUUAAUUAAUUCGCCAUGUU